AGGAUAAACGCUGGCGGCGUGCCUAACACAUGCAAGUCGAACGCACUCAGCAAUGAGUGAGUGGCGGACGGGUGAGUAGCACGUGGGUAAUCUGCCUUUCGGUGAGGAAUACCGGCGAGAAAUCGCCGACAAUACCGCAUAUCCUUGGGAAACCAAGGAAAGUCGCAAGACGCCGGAGGAGGAGCCUGCGCCCGAUUAGCUAGUUGGUGGAGUAAUGGUCUACCAAGGCGACGAUCGGUAGCUGGUCUGAGAGGAUGAUCAGCCACACUGGGAUUGAGAACGGCCCAGACUCCUACGGGGGCAGCAGUGAGGAAUUUUCGUCAAUGGGGGCAACCCUGAACGAGCAACGCCGCGUGCAGGAUGGACACUUUUCGGAGCGUAAACUGCUUUUCUCGGGACGAGUAAGGACGGUACCCGAGGAAUCAGCCCGGCUAACUACGUGCCAGCAGCCGC
rnacentral:rRNA from 1 species